CGUACCAUCUUUGACCAUGCAGGUAAAAUCCAAGUCAGCCUUCUUUUGUGUUCUUCAGUUCAAGCAAGGUCCCUUCCUGUUGCCUCUUGGCGCAAAUGAGAUGAGAUUCCCAAAUUGGAUCUAGGCUUGAUAGAGGCCAUAGAUGAGGUGUGACAGGUAUCUUAGAGAAUAAUAAGAAAAGUCUCUAUGCCUCAGUGUCUUCACCUGUGAAGGAUGGUUACAAUGCCUCCCUCCCAGGAUGAAUUGGGGAUCCAGUGAGAACAUAUGUGACACAGCUGGUGGGCUAUUUUCUCUGGCUAUGCUCCCUGUUAAAAUGCCAGAACCCCUGAGAGAGAUUCCACAUUGAACCAUGUUUAUCAUUGACCACCUCAGAGACAGGGAUUUCUCAAAUUUUUCCUGAGAUCAGCAUGUGAUGGAGAGGAGCACAAAACAAAACAAAAACCCAAAACAACAGAGAUUGCUGAGAUGUGUGUUUGUGUAUCUAAGCUACAGAGAAAGAGGAUGUAUGUGUUUGUGGGUUAUAUGUGUAAAUCAGAGCCUGCCUCCAGAGAAUCCCCCUGAGAAUCAUUGCUUAGGUCCUCUUCUAUUGCAUCUACAGAGUAUGAUCUAAAAGCAGCUCUACUUGGCUUCACUCAUCAAGACAGCAACUCUAAAUCAGCUCCUGUCUAAACAGACAAGGUGGCUAGCAUCUAUCAUAGAUUUUUCCAAAGAGUAGAAAAAUACAGAAGUCAGGGUGUCAGAGGACACUUAAACUGUUGAAAAAAAAGCCUAGAGGCAGGAAUCCUAUAUUUUCUCAUGGCUAUGCAACAAAUGCUUAAUGAGGAUUCUGGCCUGCUGUUCACUGUAUGAUACUAAGCAGUCCUCUGCUCUUUUCUGGACCUCAGUUUUCUUGUCUAUAAAAUCAAUGUGUGUUGGAAGGUAUGGACAGCUAGAUGAGAUGAGAAUUCCCUGCCAGUGUGGAUACCAUGGUUACUGCAAACUAUGAUAUUUGGCUUUAUCCUGACCUAAAAGGAAAAGAAGGGGACUUUUACUACCACUCGAAUACAAUUUUGUAGUUAGAAUCCUUAUGUUUGUACUUAACAAACAUUUACAGAACAAAUCAGGGGCAGAGAGUCAAAAAGCAAUUGAGUCUUAUGUAAAAGAUGCUAUCCAUUCCUUGGUGGGUGAAGGAAGGGCUUAAAAGUAAGAUAAUUUGUUUACCACUGAGUUCAUCUCAUAAAUGACAGAGAUAAGAAGGACUUAAUCCAUGUACUAUCUGUACCUUCAGUGAGUUUACAGUCUAUUAAAUGCUUUAGGCCAGACCAGGCUGGAAAUUCAACUUAUCUAUGCAACCCCCAAUCCUUCCACAUCCUUCCCUCCAAAGAAAUUAGGAUUAUUUUCAAUUUAGUGUUGCUGCCUUUAGAGCUAACAAGGAUCUUAAGUGUUGUCUACAACAAAUUUCUCAUACUUCACAUGAGAAAACUGGGUCAAAAUACUUACUGAAUGUGAUUGUAAACUAAUGCCUGUGGCCAGGGGCAACCCCAGAGCCCCCACUUCAUGAUCCUCCUCUCAUGAAUUCAGGCAGCUUGUCAAGGAAGUGGAACGUCUGAGAAGGCUUACCAUUCCCUGGCAUACAGAUUCAGAACCUUGAGGAGAGAGCUUCCACCCCUUGUGUGGCUCCCAUGUGUGCAAAC
rnacentral:lncRNA from 1 species